rnacentral:snoRNA from 1 species
AACCCAUGGUGAGGGUACCUUCUCAAUAAGUCUUUAUACCUCUCCCAUGCAUCAUAUAAAAUCUGUAAAUCCAUCUAUACAAAGGAAGAGAUAUCAUUCCUCAAUUU